AUGAAAUUCAGAAGAUCAUUUCAAAUUCAUUUGCGCAAACCACUCUUAACUUCUUCACAUAAAAGCCCUCACCUGAACCCUUUCUUUGUGCGCCGAAAAUCGCCUCCGACGGAGGCGGAGGUCAAAUCAGACCCAAACAUAUAUCAAACUAACCACCGUCUCUCCCUCUUUCAUAACCCCAAACUACCUUUCCCGAAUUCCUGACUUAGAGUUCAAAUCGAGUGAAAAAACAUAUGAACCCUAAAGAAAAAAAAUAAAAAAUAAAACCUUGUAGAAAUGGAAUCAAAGCCUAAAGCAUUAGGAAUUUAAUUACUUGAGCCAAAUUCUACAUGAUGGCAACUGUAAUGGCAUGAAAUGGAUGAAGAAGAAGUGUAUCUUACCUACGAGGCGAAGAUGAAGAUGAAACAGGAAAUCUUCAGGUAGCUUGGUAUGGGACUUGUUGAUUGUUUGUAGUGAUAGACUCGUGUGCUAUGCAAGGUUAUGCUCCAGCUUUCCAUUCUGAUCCUAGUUGCAGGGGAAUGUGGACUUGUGUAGUGUUUAUGUUGGCUUGUAUCUCAUGUCUUCUAUUGGCUUUGAUAUGCAUCUCUUGUUUCCUGUACUCAGACUUAUGUAGUAGGAUGCUCAUGAUGAUGGUUAAAUGGUCAAAUGUAGCUUGAGGAAGAUGGAAUUGUAAGUUUGCAGCAUAUGUGCACAUGGCCUUUGGUAAGAUGUCAAGAAUAUGAGGUAUGUAGUCAUUGCCAGUCUGCAACAUGAUUGCAACUUCAUGUUCAUGGUCAUUACAGGUUGAAUUUGCUACAAGUUUGCAAGGUUCAAAGCAUGCUUCCAAUGUUCAAUUGAUAUUCAGCUUGGUGCAGCCAUUGGAUUUGCCUUGGUCUAUGUUGGUUCUGCAUGAUAUCAUGUAUGGCAUGUCCUGCACCGUAACAUUGUCCUUAUUUGUUCAUGGUUUGUCUUCUGGUUGAUUGCUUUUGAACUGACUUGGCAUUCCAGGAUUUGUGGCAUGUGUGGACUUGGUUUCAUGUGACUUUGCAGGUUAAUAUUGUGUUGCUGGUACUUCUAAAUGUCAAAAUUUGGAUGGUCAUCGUGCAUAAGGUGAUUACUUCAAGACCAAGGAUCACAGUUGAAGAUUAGGAGGAGGAUUAUAAUUGAUAUUGAAAUUUUUAGGGUUUUAGGGCUUGGGUUGACUUUGGUCAAACUUCCAUUUUUUUGUAAUUUUCUUAAUGUUUGGGCAUUUGUAAUGGAUUAUGAUGAUGAUAUUGAAUUAAUGACUUGUAUGAUUUUGAUUGAAUUGAAUUUGAAAUGAAUGAACUUGAUGAUUA